rnacentral:ncRNA from 1 species
UCGGCGUAAUGCGAUAAGCAGGUGCGGAACCGGAACCGCAAAAGUGAGCGGCACAUCAUAGAAGCACGAGUGACUGCGUGCGUUUUUUGUCAAAGGUGGCACGCGCACUGGAAGUGCCAGUUUAAAAACUGACGUUCCAACCGAAUGGCCAAGCAUUCGGGGCAAAAAUCUGCAGUGUGUUUUGGUAAACAAAUUUCGGAACAAAAGCAUUUGUAAGUCACUACAAAUGUUUUUGU